rnacentral:rRNA from 1 species
AGCGAACGCUGGCGGCAGGCCUAACACAUGCAAGUCGAACGAAGUCUUCGGACUUAGUGGCGGACGGGUGAGUAACACGUGGGAACGUGCCUUUAGGUUCGGAAUAACUCAGGGAAACUUGUGCUAAUACCGAAUGUGCCCUUCGGGGGAAAGAUUUAUCGCCUUUAGAGCGGCCCGCGUCUGAUUAGCUAGUUGGUGAGGUAAAGGCUCACCAAGGCGACGAUCAGUAGCUGGUCUGAGAGGAUGAUCAGCCACAUUGGGACUGAGACACGGCCCAAACUCCUACGGGAGGCAGCAGUGGGGAAUCUUGCGCAAUGGGCGAAAGCCUGACGCAGCCAUGCCGCGUGAAUGAUGAAGGUCUUAGGAUUGUAAAAUUCUUUCACCGGGGACGAUAAUGACGGUACCCGGAGAAGAAGCCCCGGCUAACUUCGUGCCAGCAGCCGCGGUAACAC